rnacentral:rRNA from 1 species
AAAGCGUGCGCAGGCGGUUAUAUAAGACAGAUGUGAAAUACCCCGGGCUCAACCUGGGAACUGCAUUUGUGACUGUAUAGCUGGAGUGCGGCAGAGGGGGAUGGAAUUCCGCGUGUAGCAGUGAAAUGCGUAGAUAUGCGGAGGAACACCGAUGGCGAAGGCAAUCCCCUGGGCCUGCACUGACGCUCAUGCACGAAAGCGUGGGGAGCAAACAGGAUUAGAUACCCCGU